GACCCAGUCUGGUGAUAUUGAAUGUGGCACCAUCCACAAUUGCCAUCAGUUAUAGAAAAUUGCCAGGAUAUGCUGAAAACAGAGAACUUUCACAUUCAAUAAACUUCAACUAAAUACCAGCCAUGUGCACACCAACCUCAACCCACCUGGUUCCUGCUCUACUCUGCAGUUAAGCACCAGCAAUGUGUCAGACAGAAUGCUGGUCUGUCUUGCACUAAGACUCCACCAAAGCCUCAAGUUAGUGAGACACAGAUAAGGGG
rnacentral:lncRNA from 1 species